AUGAACGCUGGCGGCGUGCUUAACACAUGCAAGUCGAACGGUGAAGGAGAGCUUGCUCUUUGGAUCAGUGGCGAACGGGUGAGUAACACGUGAGCAAUCUGCCCUUGACUCUGGGAUAAGCGUUGGAAACGACGUCUAAUACCGGAUAUGAGCUGUGACCGCAUGGWCAACAGUUGGAAAGAACUUCGGUCAAGGAUGAGCUCGCGGCCUAUCAGCUUGUUGGUGAGGUAAUGGCWCACCAAGGCGUCGACGGGUAGCCGGCCUGAGAGGGUGACCGGCCACACUGGGACUGAGACACGGCCCAGACUCCUACGGGAGGCAGCAGUGGGGAAUAUUGCACAAUGGGCGCAAGCCUGAUGCAGCAACGCCGCGUGAGGGACGACGGCCUUCGGGUUGUAAACCUCUUUUAGCAAGGAAGAAGCGAAAGUGACGGUACUUGCAGAAAAAGCACCGGCUA
rnacentral:rRNA from 1 species